rnacentral:lncRNA from 10 species
CAUACUCUUCACACUGAUUUGGGCAGCAACAGGCCUGUGGGGAGAGCAGGCAGACGCAAAAGAGUGUGCACAUUUAUGAAGCUUUUAUCAGAAAAACAAAUGCCCAAAAUGACUGUUUACUCUGAUUUUUAAACACGUGCCACCACACCCAGCUAAUUUUUUUUGUGUAUGUAUGUGUUUUAGUAGAGAUGGGGUUUCACCACGUUGGCCAGGCUGGUCUCGAACUGCUGAGCUCAGGCAAUCUGCCCACUUCGGCCUCUCAAAGUGCUAAGAUUACAGGCAUGAGCCACCAUGCCUGGCCCAAAGCCAUUUACUUCUAAUAAAUAUCCUUAUUAAUUUGUUAAUUAUUAAUUCAUGCCCAACUCUCUCCACAAAAAAAUUUAAAACCAUUUUUAAAAGUGUGAGAAGUUGUAGCAGGUUUUAUUUUCCGAAACAGCCACAGCAGUAUUUCCCAUCCUUUCCAGAAUCUUGUCAUUUCUCAAUUGAAAGAUGGACUCUAUUUUCCUUCCCUGGGAAGGACUGUGUUUCCACCCUGAGGAAGAAAAUGUGGUAGCAGUAAUGCUACCUAACUUCCAAAGCUAGGUCAUAAAAGGCAAUAUAGCUCCUGCCCAGCUCAUUCUAUCUUGGGAUAGAAUCUUGUGGUACCCAGUGGGUACCCAGCCACUAUGUCAGUCAUAUGAACAGGUGACAUGUAGGUGUUCUGGCCAUAGCCCCAGUUGUUUUUGUCUUGUCACUUAACAGCAUAUAAGUGAAUAUAUUAGUCCAUUUUCACGCUGCUGAUAAAGACAUAAUGAGACUGGGAAGAAAAAGAGGUUUAAUUGGACUUACAGUUCCACAUGGCUGGGCAGGCCUCCAAAUCAUGGCGGGAGGUGAAAGGCACUUCUUACCUGGCUGCAGCAAGAGAAAAAUGAGGAAGAAGCAAAAGUG